rnacentral:rRNA from 1 species
CCUACGGGAGGCAGCAGUGGGGAAUAUUGCGCAAUGGGCGAAAGCCUGACGCAGCGACGCCGCGUGAGGGACGACGGCCUUCGGGUUGUAAACCUCUUUCAGCAGGGAAGAAGCGAAAGUGACGGUACCUGCAGAAGAAGCACCGGCUAACUACGUGCCAGCAGCCGCGGUAAUACGUAGGGUGCAAGCGUUGUCCGGAAUUAUUGGGCGUAAAGAGCUCGUAGGCGGUCUGUCGCGUCGGAUGUGAAAACCCAGGGCUCAACCCUGGGCCUGCAUUCGAUACGGGCAGACUAGAGUUCGGUAGGGGAGACUGGAAUUCCUGGUGUAGCGGUGAAAUGCGCAGAUAUCAGGAGGAACACCGGUGGCGAAGGCGGGUCUCUGGGCCGAAACUGACGCUGAGGAGCGAAAGCGUGGGGAGCGAACAGGAUUAGAUACCCUAG